rnacentral:rRNA from 1 species
GACGGAGGAUGCAAGUGUUAUCCGGAAUCACUGGGCGUAAAGCGUCUGUAGGUGGUUUAAUAAGGCAACUGUUAAAUCUUGAGGCUCAACCUCAAAUCGCAGUCGAAACUAUUAGGCUAGAGUAUAGUAGGGGUAAAGGGAAUUUCCAGUGGAGCGGUGAAAUGCGUAGAGAUUGGAAAGAACACCGAUGGCGAAGGCACUUUACUGGCUAUUACUAACACUGAGAGACGAAAGCUAGGGUAGCAAUGGG